rnacentral:sRNA from 1 species
GAGGAUGUGCCGAAGAGUCAUCAUUCAGACUGCAGCGGGGAUUGAACCAGAGUACGAGGACCGAAGUACCGCACACUACCACUCAACCACACAGCUGUUG